rnacentral:lncRNA from 1 species
CUGUGACAAGGGAGGAAGGACAAAAGGAUAAAAACAAGGACAUUUGCUAGAAUUACUCCGAUGUCGAUCACCAAUUCUAUUCUUACUCCAGAACUAUAACUCUGCAACAAAUUCUCAGGAUUACACUCCGUCUUUUAUAAGCACACAGGAAUGUUCAAUCAGGUUUUGAAUAUAAUUGAAUCUAUUUAGGAAAGGAUGUUCAAUGCUAAGAUCAGGAAUUAAAUAAUAUUGACAACUGAUAAGGAAAUGAAAAUUCAUUCUUAAGAUUACCAAUUCCAAAAAAACGAGCGAUCUAAAAAAUACAACGGAUUUUGAUCUUUAGUCAGGGACAUACACAGAUAUGAAUAUUAUAUAUCCUCAAAAGCAGGAGCGGGGUUUUGCAGUUGGUAAUUCUCAUCUCUGAAGUGAAGAAAGUAUUUUUUGAUUGCUGGUGAUAGAAAACGUAAAUUUAUUGCUUUAUGCUCCCGCCAGCACGUAUCCUCACGCGUUAGGGAUCUUGGCUUAAAGCAGUGGAAUACUAUGCCAAUCACUUCAAUUCAGUCAAACAGUAUAUUAAUGGUAUGGAUGAAAAUAAUGAUACAAUAAAAAAAGUAAAAGAUGUUUUGAAGAAAGAGUCCCUUUUGUCAGAAAUAGUGUUUAUUUAAAACAAUUUGAAUCCAAUACAAGUAGCCAUUAAAGCAUUGGAAAAGAGAUUGCCGAUACUCACAAGUGUAACCAUCGUUGAAGAUCUAUACCAAGAAAUUACUACACUUGAACCUUUCAAAACUAAAUGUCUGGAGGUGAUAGAGAAAAACAAAAUCGAAUUGAGAGAAUUGGCACCUGAAACCAUCAAUCCCGAUAGCAAUUUUUUUAAAUACAAAAAUAUAUACUCCUAUUGUUAACUGUGAUUGUGAGAGAGUUUUCAUUGUGAUGUAAGACAUAGAUAUUCCGAAAAGGUCCUGUUUGACGGAUGGUCAUAUCAAGGAUAUUAUGAUAGUGAAAUGGAACAUUGAUUUAUGAUGAUAGUCUUUAAAUUUCAUAAUAGAAUCGUUGUAAAAGGUAAUAGAAAUUAUGAAGUGUUUUUGUAUCUUAAAAACUCUAUAUCAUAUGGUGCCAAUUUUCUAAAUUUGAUGUAUCCCUAUCAUCUACAGACAUUAAUUUUGAAAGGUCCAAGCGUAAUAUCUUGGCAUAGAUUUUCUACGAUAGUUACACUUGGGAGUAGCGAUAAUUUCUCUUUCAAAGCUUUAUUGGUUACCUGCAUUGGAUUUAAAUUGUGUUGAAUAAACAUUAUUUCAUACAAAAGUGGAUCAUUCUUCAAAACAUCUAUUGUUUCAUAGAUUGCAUCAUAGUUUUCAUACAUAACAUUCAUAUACUCUUUGAAUGAAUUGAAGUGCUUGGCGUAGUAGUGAAUUGUUUUAGAUCACCUGAAUUAAAAAAUAUAUAUAUUCACUUCAGAGAUGAUAGUGUUUGUAUUUUAAAAGAAAUUAGGUCAGAGCGUUGCUAUUCUGUUCAGCCUAUGAGUAAGAUAAGUGAUAUGAAACAUAAUUGGAAAAUUUUGUUUAAGGCUUUCGGUUGCUUUAAUACAAUAUGAAGCUCUGUUGGUAAUGAAAACUUUGUCUUUCGCUUCUGAAAUAAGAGACAAGAACGUUGCUGAUACUUUUUAUAGCAACACUUGUAAUUAUUGGAUGCCUUCCAAAUUAAUUAGAUAAGGACGAGCCAAAAAUUAACCAUAUAAAGGACCAACCAACACUGUAGUCAUGGACCGCUGUCGAGUGUCAGUAGUUUCGUGCAAUGGAAGAAAUAUAUCCUUCCCCUCAAGGUUUUUUAAAAUCUUGGUAAACACUACUCUACUUUGAGACUCCAUUGACUUUUCCAGUGUAAAUUUCCAUAAACUUAACAAAAUUUGGAUGACUAACGAUAUAGUGUGGAAUAUUGCAGGAGAAAAGCAUUUAGUUAUAUAUUCUGUAAAAUUGGAAUGUUCAGAAUUGGAAUUAAUUAUAUGACUUGUAUACAGUUCCAAAUUACAUUCGUGAAUUUGGUUUCACUGUGUUGUUCUACUUUGAACAUCUUCUGGACUACAGUUCCAAAAUUACAAAGACGGCAAUCCAAAAAUCUAGAUCAUCGUCGUAAUUCCAUAUAUUUUUACAUAAAUUAUCUGCGAUCAAAUAAUAUUUAUCAA